rnacentral:lncRNA from 1 species
UCGAUUUAUGUUCUUUAAGAUAUUUUUCUACUGGAAUGGAACUUCUCUCUGUAAAAGUGAGAAGAGGAAGGUUGCAUAAAGCAUCUGAUGCAUUCCAAACCUAUGUUGUUUUAAAAGUCCAAAAUUUAAAAGGCACUACAAUAGACAGAAGGGGAAGUGAACCUUGUUGGGAACAGGACUUCAUGUUGUAAGUAACAGGGAAUUCUUAUAAGUUGUUUUUGUUGUGUCUUUGCUAUAUUUGGAUAGUUGAGAGCACUUGAUAACAUCUGAGACCACGUACAGACUGCAAAAGCAAGCAAAAAGUAUCCAGCUGGGAGAAAAGGUGCCAGGCUAGUUCUAGGGAAAAGAACAAAAGUUAAUUUUGCAAGUGACGUUGAAGAUCAAGGCCAG